CCAAAUGAUGGCCUGUCCAGCUUGCUGGCAGGUACUCUACACCUGUGAACUUUGCUGUAUUUCGGGUUGACACUGGCCUUUUCUGGUUGGCGUCAGCCCGGUUUUUAAACCACUUAACCUUGGCUGAGAAUACAAUGUUAAUUUAGUAA
rnacentral:misc_RNA from 1 species